CGCGGGGUAGAGCAGUUGGCAGCUCGUCGGGCUCAUAACCCGGAGGUCGUUGGUUCGAAUCCUUCCCCCGCAACCA
rnacentral:tRNA from 2 species